AUGGGCUGCGUCCACGGCCGCCCCUCCGCCGUUCCUACUCCCGACCGCCCGCCUCCCGAGCCGAAGCCCGAGCAGGCGCCGCCGCAAGAGGGCGACAAGUUCCCGGCCACGGCCGAGAAGCCCGCCAGGAAGGAGAGGCGGUCCCGGUCGUCGCGCUCGGUGGCCGAGGCCCGUCUCGGCGGCAGCUUUGCCAACAGGGCACGCGGGGAGCAGGUCGCCGCCGGCUGGCCCGCCUGGCUCUCCGCCGUCGCGGGCGAGGCCAUCGACGGCUGGACCCCGCGUCGCGCCGACUCUUUCGAGAAGAUCGACAAGAUCGGCCAGGGCACGUACAGCAAUGUGUACAAGGCGCGGGAUACCGUGAGCGGCAAGAUCGUGGCGCUCAAGAAGGUGCGCUUCGACAACCUCGAGCCCGAGAGCGUUCGCUUCAUGGCCCGCGAGAUCCUCAUCCUCCGCCGCCUCGACCACCCCAGCGUCAUCAAGAUCGAUGGCCUCGUCACCUCUCGCAUGUCCUGCAGCCUCUACCUCGUCUUCGAGUACAUGGAGCACGACCUCGCCGGGCUGGUCGCCAGCCCGGAUAUUAAAUUCACCGAGCCACAGGUUAAGUGCUAUAUGAACCAGCUGUUGUCGGGGCUGGAGCACUGCCAUGACCGCGGGGUGUUGCACCGUGAUAUUAAGGGGUCGAAUCUGCUUUUGGAUAACAAUGGCAUGUUGAAGAUUGCAGAUUUUGGUCUGGCGUCAUUCUUUGAUCCAAGCCGUAAGCAACCAAUGACAAGCAGGGUUGUGACACUAUGGUACCGCCCACCAGAGUUACUUUUGGGCGCGACCGAUUAUGGGGUGGGCGUGGACCUAUGGAGCGCGGGAUGUAUACUCGCGGAGUUGUUGGCUGGGAGGCCUAUUAUGCCAGGCCGAACCGAGGUGGAACAGCUGCACAAAAUUUUUAAGCUGUGUGGCUCCCCCACAGAAGAAUAUUGGAAAAAGUCGAAGUUGCCUCAUGCAACGAUAUUUAAGCCUCAGCAGCCAUACAAAAGACGAAUAACGGAUACAUUCAAAGAUUUUCCACAAUCCGCACUGCGGUUGAUUGAAACACUGCUUGCAAUUGAUCCGGCUGAUCGUUUGACAGCGUCCUCUGCAUUAAGAAGUGAUUUCUUUACCACUGAACCUUAUGCAUGCGAACCAUCGAGUCUCCCAAAAUAUCCCCCAAGCAAAGAAAUGGAUGCAAAGCGAAGAGAUGAAGAAGCCAGACGUUCAAGAGCUGCUGGUGGUAGACCUAAUGGUGAUGGAGCUAGCAAGGCAAGGACACGUGACCGGCCCAGGGGAGCUCCAGCUCCAGAGGCAAAUGCCGAGCUUCAAGUAAAUAUUGAUAAAAGGAGGAUAGUAAGUCAUGCAAAUGCGAAAAGCAAGAGUGAAAAGUUUCCUCCCCCGCAUCAGGAUGGUGCAGUUGGUUUCCCUUUGGGUUCUUCAAAUCAAAUGGACCCACUGUAUGAACCCCCAGACCCAACUUCCUUCAGCACUGUGUUUUCUCAUGAGAAAAGCUCCGUGCCUACUUGGUCUGGACCAUUGGUCAAUUCUUCCGCAGUUGGGAACCAAAAGCGGAAACACAAGUCCAGCCGCUCAUCAAAACAACCGUCCACUGCCCGUGCUCGGUAA
rnacentral:rRNA from 1 species